UGGUAAAAGAAGUCAUAAUUUUUUCUGCUAAUUUUAAUAUAUUUUUAUGCUUGCAAUUUUAUGUCUACGGAAAAACAGGAUUUUUUAUAUCACUACACUUAUUAUCCUAAAGCAGGAGUCAACUUCAGACUCGUGUUCAACAUUGAAUGAAGAAGAAAUAUUUGAAGUUCAGGACAGCUUAUCACUGUUUCCUUUAGGCUGGAUACAUGUAAGCUCCAUUAUCCUUGACUGUCACUUAUUCAUUCUUAGCUCUGAUGGUGGGUUGAACCAUCAAUGUUUUCCCUAAUAAUAGAUAGUUAGAUACAACUGAAGAUAGUAUAAGCUGCUCUUCUAUUCUUUUUUCUUUUUCCAACAAAAUCAUAACUUGUAACAUACAGUCAGCAAAGGCAUGUAAGGUUUUAAAUUUACCUACCUGAAUGGUUGUAUAUUUUUUUUCUUUAUAGAUUAGGUUGAGAAGUGAGUGAAGAAAGGAAACUUGCUGAUGAUAAUGUCAUAACUGGAACUUCUUUUAGAUAGAUAUAUCCAUUAUUCUUGGAUGCUAUUUGCUUUGUCAAUAGGUUCUUAUAUAUUUGUUUUAAAGUAGUUCUUAUA